GCAGACUUAGCAGAGAGCAGAGGCAGGUCAGGGAGAAAAGAAACGCGAUGGGAGCCAGGAGAAAAAGGAAAAAAAAGGCGAGAAGGAGGAGGAGAAGCAAAUGUUUGAAGAGGCUGCAGGAAAAAAAAAUCCGCCCCCUCAAUCGUUAAGUGCUGCUGUAAAUUAUUCAUCAGGAGAGGCUCGGGUCUGUCCCUGCAGAGGCCGAGAAUGGGCACGGAGAGAAGAGGAAAACUUGGAACGGGGGGAGAAAGGAUUGGGAAAAUCCCAAAGCGGAGUCUGGGAAGGAGCCGUGAGCCGCGGGCAGCGCUGGAGGCGGGGUUUGAUCAGGACCAGCCGCGAGCAGAGAAGUGACAGUGCUCUGAUCAGCCGGGAAUGUCCCCCAGGGGUCCCCGAGGUGUCCCCAGGGUGUCCCCAAGGUGUCGUGUCCCCAUUAGCAGGGCGUCACUCCCCAUGCGGAGUGAAAAAAAUUCCUGCUCUAGGGGGGAAAAAAAGACAAACCAGCGAAAAAAGGGCUGGUGGAGGGGAGGGAAAUGGGAAAACAUCCAGGAAAAUAUUCCUGGGUUUGUGUUGGGGCAAUUGGGGUGGGAAAUAUCCGGGAAAAUAUUUCUGGGAUCAUACUGGCACCUUUGGGUUGGAAAAUAUCUAGGACAAGGAAAAAUAUCUAGGAAAAUACUCCUGGGUUUGUGAUGGAACAAUUGGGUUGGAAAAUAUCCAGGAGAAGGGAAAAUACCCGUGGAAAUUAUUCUUGGGAUCAUUUUGGCACAUUUGGGUUGGAAAAUAUCCAGGAAAAGGAGAAAAUAUCUAGGGAAAUAUUCCUGGGUUUGUGUUGGGGCAAUUGAGGUGGGAAAUAUCUGGGAAAAGGGAAAAUACCUGUGGAAAAUAUUCUUGGGAUCUUUUUGGCACAUUUGAGUUGGAAAAUAUCCAGAGAAAGGGAAAAAUUCCAGGAACACAUUCCUGGGUUUGUGUUGGCACAAUUGGGUUGGAAAAUAUCCAGGAGAAGGGAAAAUAUCAGCGCAAAAUAUUCUUGGGAUUGUAUUGGCACAUUUGUGUUGGAAAGUAUCCACAGAAAAUAUUCCUGGGAUUGUGUUGGCACAACAGGGGUGGGAAAUAUCCGGGAAAAGGGAAAAUAUCAAUGGGAAAUAUUUCUGGGAUCAUGUUGGCACAUUUGGGCUGGAAAAG